CCGUAGCCUCUUAGCGGGGGGAGUAACUAUUGGAAACGAUAGCUAAUACCGCAUAAAAGUCGACAUUGCAUGAUGUUGACUUGAAAGGUGCAAUUGCAUCACUAAGAGAUGGACCUGCGUUGUAUUAGCUAGUUGGUGAGGUAACGGCUCACCAAGGCGACGAUACAUAGCCGACCUGAGAGGGUGAUCGGCCACACUGGGACUGAGACACGGCCCAG
rnacentral:rRNA from 1 species